rnacentral:hammerhead_ribozyme from 1 species
AUCCAACUGGCGAGUCCCAAAUAGGGAGGAAACGCGCAUCCUGGAU